rnacentral:rRNA from 1 species
AUUGAACGCUGGCGGCAGGCCUAACACAUGCAAGUAGAACGUGUGGCGGACGGGUUAGUAAUGUCUGGGAAACUGCCUGAUGGCGGGGGAUAACUCCUGGAAACGGUAGCUAAUACCGCAUACCAUCAGAUGUGCCCAGUUUGGAUGAGCUAGUUGGUGGGGUAACGGGUCACCAAGGCGACGAUCCCUAGCUGGUCUGCGAGGAUGACCAGCCACAUGGGAACUGAGACACGGUCCAGGCUCCUACGGGAGGCAGCAGUGGGGAAUAUUGCACAAUGGGCGCAAGCCUGAUGCAGCCAUGCCGCUUGUAUGAAGAAGGCCUUCGGGUUGUAAAGUACUUGCAGCGGGGAGGCGUUACCCGCAGAAGAAGCACCGGCUAACUCCGUGCCAGCAGCCGCGGUAAUUC